GGAGGGGUGUCCGAGCGGCUUAAGGAGCUGGUCUUGAAAACCAGUGAUGCCCGGAAGGGCACCGUGGGUUCGAAUCCCACCCCCUCCGCCA
rnacentral:tRNA from 1 species